GGCAGGGUAGCCAACUUGGUGACGGCAGGCGUCUGAAAAACGUCAGAUAUAGGUUCAAUUCCUAUCCCUGCCG
rnacentral:tRNA from 1 species